UUCCCGGGCCUUGUACACACCGCCCGUCACACCACGAAAGUUGGCAAUACCCGAAGCCGGUGGCCUAACCCGCAAGGGAGGGAGCCGUCGAAGGUAGGGUCGAUGAUUGGGUG
rnacentral:rRNA from 1 species